GAUAAGGUUAAGUGAAUAAGGGCGCACGGUGGAUGCCUUGGCACUAGGAGCCGAUGAAGGACGGGACUAACACCGAUAUGCUUUGGGGAGCUGUACGUAAGCUAUGAUCCAGAGAUUUCCGAAUGGGGGAACCCAACAUCUUUAAUAGGAUGUUACGAUUGUGUGAAUACAUAGCACAUUCGAGGUAGACGCAGAGAACUGAAACAUCUAAGUACCUGCAGGAAGAGAAAGAAAAUUCGAUUCCCUGAGUAGCGGCGAGCGAAACGGGAAAAGCCCAAACCAGCAAGCUUGCUUGUUGGGGUUGUAGGACUCCAAUAUGGUAGUUCUUUCAGAUAGUCGAAUGACUUGGAAAAGUCAGUCAAAGAGGGUAAAAACCCCGUAGACGAAAUGUGGAAGACACCUAGGAGGAUCCUGAGUACGGCGGAACACGAGAAAUUCCGUCGGAAUCCGGGAGGACCAUCUCCCAAGGCUAAAUACUCCCUAGUGACCGAUAGUGAACCAGUACCGUGAGGGAAAGGUGAAAAGCACCCCGGAAGGGGAGUGAAAUAGAACCUGAAACCGUGUGCCUACAACAAGUCAAAGCCCGUUAAUGGGUGAUGGCGUGCCUUUUGUAGAAUGAACCGGCGAGUUACGAUUGCAUGCGAGGUUAAGUUGAAGAGACGGAGCCGCAGCGAAAGCGAGUCUGAAUAGGGCGUUUGAGUAUGUAGUCGUAGACCCGAAACCAUGUGAUCUA
rnacentral:rRNA from 1 species